CAACAAGGUAUUGAAACAACUUAUUUAUUGGCUAUAUCUUUUAAACAAGUGCAUAUUUCUCCCAACACAUGACGAAUUUGUCCCAGCUCUCUUGCAACCUCGUGUACUGCAGCAAGUGUGUCCCUCUGAUUCUGCAGGACUGCAUCUGUGAGGACACGGCCGCUGCUGGAGGGCUGCGCAGGAGGUGCUGUGGAGACGCCGGGCCCGGGGCUCGAGGCACGAGGUGCCGUGCCCGUGGAGGCAGGAGGUGCCGUGCCCGUGGAGGCAGCGGGGCUCGAGGCACGAGGUGCCGUGCCCGUGGAGGCAGCGGGGCUCGAGGCACGAGGUUCCUCGCGAGGUCCUCCUACCCUGGUGGAACCAGCAUCUUGUUAAUUCUUUUUUCUUAAUAAAGUUAUGAUUUGUUUUUCGAAAUACA